AGAUCGACUGCGGACAAGCUGAGAUAGAUUGUCCAAGGCUGAGGUUUUGGAGACCGUGGAGUACGUGUUGAUCUCAAAUAAUUUAGAAUAGAUGGACCGAGGAUGAGCUAAAAUAAGUCGUCCAAGGCAGAGGUAAACUGAGUACAACCCGAGGAAUCAGAAACCGUUGUUGACUCAAUGGGUUAUUCGACAACUUUCAUGUCUGUCGUAUACCCAUAAUCCGAUAGGCAUCCAUCUCCUAU
rnacentral:lncRNA from 1 species